GCACAACGCGAAGAACCUUACCAGGCCUUGACAUGCAGAGAACUUUCCAGAGAUGGAUUGGUGCCUUCGGGAACUCUGACACAGGUGCUGCAUGGCUGUCGUCAGCUCGUAUCGUGAGAUGUUGGGUUAAGUCCCGUAACGAGCGCAACCCUUGUCCUUAGUUACCAGCACGUUAUGGUGGGCACUCUAAGGAGACUGCCGGUGACAAACCGGAGGAAGGUGGGGAUGACGUCAAGUCAUCAUGGCCCUUACGGCCUGGGCUACACACGUGCUACAAUGGUCGGUACAGAGGGUUGCCAAGCCGCGAGGUGGAGGCAAUCCCGAAAGCCGGGCCCAGUUCGGAUUGGAGUCUGCAACUCGACUCCAUGAAGCCGGAAUCGCUAGUAAUGGCGUAUCAGCUACGACGCCGUGAAUACGUUCCCGGGUCUUGUACACACCG
rnacentral:rRNA from 1 species